rnacentral:lncRNA from 10 species
CCAGCCUUCUGUGCUCAAUGGAUGUCAGCCCUACACUGGGGAACAACAUAAGAGGGACAUGCAGUCAAGAAUAAGUUAUUAGGGCCGGGUGCGGUGGCUCAUGCCUGUCAUCCCAGCACUUUGGGAGGCCAAGAUGGGUGGAUCACCUGUGGUCAGGAGUUUGAGACCAGCCCGACCAACCUGGUAAAAUCCUGUCUCUACUAAAAACACAAAAAUAAGCUGGGUGUGAUGGUGCAUGCCUGUGGUCCCAGCUACUCAGGAGGCUGAGACAGGAGAAUCACUUGAACCUGGGAGGCGGAGGCUGCAGGGAGCCGAGACUGUGCCACUGCACUCCAGCCAGGAUGACGAAGCGAGACUCCAUCUUAAAAAAAAAAAAAAUAGAAUAAGUUUUUGGUCCUGAUUCUGCCCAAACCCAUGCAAUAAGCCCAUCACCUGGUAAGGCCAUUAAGAUUUUGGCAAAGUUGUAUCCCAUGAUCAUGGAUUGUUUUGGGUCCUGUCCUCCAGGUUGGAAAGAAGACUGACUGAUUGCUUGGGGAACUGAGUAGAAGCUGCUGUAGGGUAUUCCCAAAAGGCCAUGACAGGAGCUGUACUGUGGGAGCCAAACCACGUGAUCCUAUGAAGCUUGGGGCAUCAGCUGCAACUUCUUAGCCUGAGAGUGGGCAGCGUAGCACUGGCUUUGACCCCAGUGUCUUCCAGAAGCUGAUAUUCACAAUUUGCAUUAAAUCUGGAAGGAGGAAAGUGUUUAGAUCUAAAGACGCAGGAGCCAGCUGGCUUGGGUUUAAAUUCUACCUUUGGCACUUACUGGCUGUGUUACCUUCGGCCAGUUUCUUAAGCCCUCUGUACCUCAAUUUGAUAAUCUUUAAAGUUAGAAUAAUGAUAGAGGUAGUUGUGAGAAUUUUGUGAGUUAACGUACAUAAAACACAACAGCACCUGGCACAGAGUAAGCCUUCAAUAUUUUCAUUGUGGUGAUUAUUACUAAGCUUCAUUUGAGCUCACACUAACUACUGAUGGGCAUUUUAUUACUCUCCUCACUGUUUACAAUCAUGUCUUGGGUAUGUCAGAGCAACUUUCACAUAAGAAGGAGCUGCCAGGAAGUCAUGAACAAGCCAAAUGGGAGUCCUAGGUAGAGAGAACCAGGCUCUUGAAUAAGGCCCAGCAGAGCUCAG